CUAUUUGUAGUAGAGGGUAAUUAUGUUGGGUUUAAGCUCCAUUGGCGGACCUUAUGGUUCCAAGUAG
rnacentral:tRNA from 1 species